GACGAACGCUGGCGGCGUGGAUUAGGCAUGCAAGUCGGACGGUAGGGCUUUAUCGUAAGAUAGAGUUUGAGAGUGGCGAACGGGUGAGUAACACGUAGGAAUCUACCCUUAAGACGGGGACAACCCAGGGAAACUUGGGCUAAUACCGGAUGAGAGUGCGAGAGAUUGCAUUUAAAAGGAUGGCGAAAGUUAUCGCUUAGGGAUGAGCCUGCGGUCUAUUAGUUAGUUGGUGGGGUAAGAGCUCACCAAGGCGAUGAUAGAUAGGCGGCCUUAACGGGUGGUCGCCCACACUGGGAUUGAGAUACGGCCCAGACUCCUACGGGAGGCAGCAGUCGAGAAUAGUCUACAAUGGCCGGAAGGCUGAUAGUGCGACGCCGCGUGAACGAGGGAGCCCUUCGGGUGUAAAGUUCUUUUCUAUACGAGCAGUGCUAUAUAUAUGGAUAGUAUAUAUAGAGGGAUAGUAGUAUAGGAAUAAGCAACGGCUAACUCCGUGCCAGCAGCCG
rnacentral:rRNA from 1 species